rfam:Rhodococcus erythropolis PR4 DNA, complete genome.
CGCCUGUUGUGGUGACACGAGGUGCACGUGCGGAUCGAUGCCGGCGGCAGUGAGAAUCAUCUGCUCACCGGAGAUCGCGUCGGUCGCCGGACCGGUGGUCAGCCCCGGAGUGACGCCUUCCAUCGUGCUGGAGUUUCCCGCCUUGCCCCAGCCGACGAUCUUGCCGUCCUUGAUUCCCACGUCCGCUUUGACGACCCCGAUGGUCGCAUCGACGAUGACCACGUUGGUGAUCACGAGGUCGAGCGCACCGUCGAUGCUGCAAGACUCCGGAUCCUGGCCCAUGCCGUCGCG